UACGGGGGGGGGCAAGCGUUGUUCGGAAUUACUGGGCGUAAAGGGCUCGUAGGCGGCCAACUAAGUCAGACGUGAAAUCCCUCGGCUUAACCGGGGAACUGCGUCUGAUACUGGAUGGCUGGAGUUUGGGAGAGGGAUGCGGAAUUCCAGGUGUAGCGGUGAAAUGCGUAGAUAUCUGGAGGAACACCGGUGGCGAAGGCGGCAUCCUGGACCGAUACUGACGCUGAUGAGCGAAAGCCAGGGGAGCAAACGGG
rnacentral:rRNA from 1 species